rnacentral:rRNA from 1 species
GACGAACGCUGGCGGCGUGCUUAACACAUGCAAGUCGAACGGAAAGGCCCUGCUUUUGUGGGGUGCUCGAGUGGCGAACGUGUGAGUAACACGUGAGUAACCUGCCCUUGACUUUGUGAUAACUUCAGGAAACUGGGGCUAAUACCGGAUAGGAUCUCCUGCUGCAUGGUGGGGGUUGGAAAGUUUCGGCGGUUGGGGAUGGACUCGCGGCUUAUCAGCUUGUUUGUGGGGUAGUGGCUUACCAAGGCUUUGACGGGUAGCAGGCCUGAGAGGGUGACCGGCGACAUGGGGACUGAGAGACGGAGCAGAAUGGAACGGGAGGCAGCAGUGGGGAAUAUUGCAAAAUGGGCGGAAGCAUGAUGAAGAAAGGCAGGGGGCGGGAUGACGGCCUUCGGGUUGUAAAAAGAUGUGGAAUGAGACGAAGAGGGAGUGACGGUAAUGGGUAAAGAAGCAACGGCUAACUACGUG